UGAUUUUCGACCCACUUAAUACUAUGUCCAGAGUAUAAAGCACUGCCCCCACUGAGCCCAUGAUAUUUGCCCCCACUUCUUUCAUUUUUCUUGUUAUUUUCAAAGCUGAAGCAGCCCGUCAGCCUGUUCUAGGCAGCCCACAUAGACGCCUGCACGACGGCCUAGAUGGUAUGCGUACGAGCGAGGCCUUGAAAUGCACGCAGGCACGAGCCACGACCUUGUCUAAAGAAAACAAAAAAAACAAGCCACGACCUAGACGGAGAUGGGGUACCCCUCAAAAAAUAGGGACGGAGAUGGGGUCCUAGACUGCUAGACGUGACCCGCCGCCGCCGUGACCACGCGAGAUGUGAAGCUACCUCGCCAGACUGCCUCAUCGCUCCGGGAACGAUCUGCGCCUUGCACGUCGGCUGGUCCUUACCGUUCUUUGGUUCUUGGAUUCAGAAGAUCGGUACAAGCACUACGUGUUUUUAUCAAUCGAGGAUGCUGUUAACGUGACACUACGAUCAGAGACCCUUUGACGAAACUGUGUGCGAUGAAUUAAUUGUAAAUGGUGAUGUAAAAACCCCGUCAAAAAAGAUGCAAAACGUUUGUGAUGAAGGAUACAUCAAACACGGUUUAGAUUUUA